rnacentral:rRNA from 1 species
CCUACGGGAGGCAGCAGUGGGGAAUUUUGGACAAUGGGCGCAAGCCUGAUCCAGCAAUGCCGCGUGAGUGAAGAAGGCCUUCGGGUUGUAAAGCUCUUUUGUCAGGGAAGAAACGGUGGAGGUUAAUACCUUCUGCUAAUGACGGUACCUGAAGAAUAAGCACCGGCUAACUACGUGCCAGCAGCCGCGGUAAUACGUAGGGUGCAAGCGUUAAUCGGAAUUACUGGGCGUAAAGCGUGCGCAGGCGGUUGUGCAAGACAGAUGUGAAAUCCCCGGGCUCAACCUGGGAAUUGCAUUUGUGACUGUACGGCUAGAGUGUGUCAGAGGGGGGUAGAAUUCCACGUGUAGCAGUGAAAUGCGUAGAGAUGUGGAGGAAUACCGAUGGCGAAGGCAGCCCCCUGGGAUAACACUGACGCUCAUGCACGAAGACGUGGGAGGACGAACAGAGUAGUAUACCUACGUAGUACCGACCGACCCGUAACCGAAC